AUUGAACGCUGGCGGCAGGCCUAACACAUGUAAGUCGAGCGAGCGGCGGACGGGUGAGUAAUGUAUGGUGUCUGCCCGAUCGAGGGGGAUAACUACUGGAAACUGUGGCUAUUACCGCAUACUAUCGGAUAACCCAUAUGGGAUUAGCUAGUCGGUGGGGUAAAGGCUCACCUAGGCGACGAACUCUAGCUGGUCUGAGGGGAUGAUCAGCCACACGGGGACUGGGACAAGGCCGAGACGCGUACGGAGGAAGCAGUGGGGAAUAUAGCACAAUGGGCGCAAGCCUGAUGCAGCAAUGCCGCGUGGAUGAAGAAGGCCUUAGGGUUGUAAAGUACUUUGAGCGGGGAGGCGUUACCCGCAGAAGAAGCAGCGGCUAACUCCGUGCCAGCAGCCGCGGUAAUAC
rnacentral:rRNA from 1 species